GACGAACCGUGCGAACGUUGUUCGGAUUCACUGGGCUUAAAGGGCGCGUAGGCGGCUUGCCAAGUCAGGGGUGAAAUCUUUCGGCUCAACCGGAAAAGUGCCUUUGAUACUGGCGAGCUAGAGGGAGGUAGGGGUGCGUGGAAUUCCCGGUGUAGCGGUGAAAUGCGCAGAUAUCGGGAGGAACACCGGUGGCGAAGGCGGUUCUCUGGGCCUGACCUGACGCUGAGGAGCGAAAGCGUGGGGAGCGAACAGG
rnacentral:rRNA from 1 species